rnacentral:rRNA from 1 species
AUUGAACGCUGGCGGCAGGCCUAACACAUGCAAGUCGAGCGGUAGAGAGAAGCUUGCUUCUCUUGAGAGCGGCGGACGGGUGAGUAAUGCCUAGGAAUCUGCCUGGUAGUGGGGGAUAACGUUCGGAAACGGACGCUAAUACCGCAUACGUCCUACGGGAGAAAGCAGGGGACCUUCGGGCCUUGCGCUAUCAGAUGAGCCUAGGUCGGAUUAGCUAGUUGGUGGGUAAUGGCUCACCAAGGCGACGAUCCGUAACUGGUCUGAGAGGAUGAUCAGUCACACUGGAACUGAGACACGGUCCAGACUCCUACGGGAGGCAGCAGUGGGGAAUAUUGGACAAUGGGCGAAAGCCUGAUCCAGCCAUGCCGCGUGUGUGAAGAAGGUCUUCGGAUUGUAAAGCACUUUAAGUUGGGAGGAAGGGCAGUUGCCUAAUACGUAACUGUUUUGACGUUACCGACAGAAUAAGCACCGGCUAACUCUGUG